rnacentral:rRNA from 1 species
AGUGAACGCUGGCGGUAGGCCUAACACAUGCAAGUCGAACGGCAGCACAGUAAGAGCUUGCUCUUACGGGUGGCGAGUGGCGGACGGGUGAGGAAUACAUCGGAAUCUACUUUUUCGUGGGGGAUAACGUAGGGAAACUUACGCUAAUACCGCAUACGACCUAAGGGUGAAAGCAGGGGAUCUUCGGACCUUGCGCGAUUGAAUGAGCCGAUGUCGGAUUAGCUAGUUGGGGGGGUAAAGGCCCACCAAGGCGACGAUCCGUAGCUGGUUUGAGAGGAUGAACCGGCCAAACGGGACUGGGAAACGGUCCCGACCCCUAAGGGGGGGAGCAGGGGGGAAUAUUGGGAAAUGGGGGGAAGCCCUAACCAGCCCAGCCGGGGGGGGGAAGAAGGGCUUCGGGUUGUAAAGCCCUUUUUGUUGGGAAAAAAAGGCGGAAGUUAAUACCCCCGCGUUUUGAAGUGAACCAAAGAAUAAAGCCCGGGUAAAUUUGUG